UACGUAGGGUGCGAGCGUUGUCCGGAAUUAUUGGGCGUAAAGGGCUCGUAGGCGGUUUUGUCGCGUCGGGAGUGAAACCCAGGGCUUAACUCUGGGCUGGCUUUCGAUACGGGCAGACUAGAGGCAUGCAGGGGAGAACGGAAUUCCUGGUGUAGCGGUGAAAUGCGCAGAUAUCAGGAGGAACACCGGUGGCGAAGGCGGUUCUCUGGGCAUGUCCUGACGUGGAGACGCGAAAGCGUGGGAGAAACAGG
rnacentral:rRNA from 1 species